rfam:Callithrix jacchus chromosome 4, whole genome shotgun sequence
CCAAAGGCUCUUUUCAGAGCCACUUCAAAUACACUUAAAGAGCUGU